AUUGCCACUGCAGCACUUUGUCUGAUUAAAGGCCAGAGGCUGCAGAACAAAGGCCAGACAUGGAGUCCUGGAUGUUCAUGAGAGCGCAGUUUGACUAUGAUCCCAAAAAGGACAAUCUGAUCCCUUGCAAGGAGGCGGGACUGAAGUUUGCUACUGGGGACAUUAUCCAGAUUAUCAACAAGGAUGACAGCAAUUGGUGGCAGGGACGGGUGGAAGGCUCCUCCAAGGAGUCAGCAGGAUUGAUCCCUUCCCCUGAGCUGCAGGAAUGGCGAGUGGCAAGUAUGGCUCAGUCAGCUCCUAGCGAAGCCCCGAGCUGCAGUCCCUUUGGGAAGAAGAAGAAGUACAAAGACAAAUAUCUGGCCAAGCACAGCUCGAUUUUUGAUCAGUUGGAUGUUGUUUCCUACGAGGAAGUCGUUCGGCUCCCUGCAUUCAAGAGGAAGACCCUGGUGCUGAUCGGAGCCAGUGGGGUGGGUCGCAGCCACAUUAAGAAUGCCCUGCUCAGCCAGAAUCCGGAGAAGUUUGUGUACCCUGUCCCAUGUAAGUACCUCUUAGGCACCUUGGAGGGGAGGUGACAGGCUGGUACCACU
rnacentral:sRNA from 1 species